GAGGGAGGGGGCGCCGGGGGCCGGGGGGCGCGGCGGUGGCGGCCGCGGGUCCCGUCAGCGCAGGGAGACCUCGUCCUCGUUCCCGCGUCCCGUCAUCCUGAGGAGACCCGGUCCCCGGGAGCCGGUCGGGCUGAGGAGAAUCCGUCCUCGUCCCUGUCCGGGUCCCGUCAUCCUGAGGAGACCCGUCCCCGCGUCCCGUCAUCCUAAGGAGAUCUGUUCCCGGGAGCCGGUCAGGCUGAGGAGAAUCCGUCCUCGUCCCUGUCCGUGGGUCCCGUCAUCCUGAGGAGACCCGGGCCCCGGCUCCCGUCACCCCGAGGAGACCCGUCCCCGUCCGUGGGUCCCGUCACCCCGAGGAGACCCGGGCCCCGGCUCCCGUCACCCCGAGGAGACCCGUCCCCGUCCGUGGGUCCCGCCAUCCUGAGGAGACCCGGUCCCCGGGAGCCAGUCAGGCUGAGGAGAAUCCGUCCUCGUCCCUGUCCGUGGGUCCCGUCACCCCGAGGAGACCCCGUCCCUGGGGUCCCACCACCCGGACCGGUCAGGCCGCCGAGGGAAAGGGGGGCAGGCUGGUCAGGAGCUCGGAAGUCGGGGUGCGUCUGGGAAGGAGGGGCAGCCGACGGCACCGGUCCUGCACUGCCGCUUGUCCUCAGGGCCCUCCCAUCUGUUCUUUUUCUGAAGAAAGCUCUGUGGAGGAGCGGGCCCAGACAGCAGGUGCAGAGCAGAUGGAGCCUGCGCCCGUGCCGGCUCCAAGAAGCCCCCAUACUCUCUGUCCUGAAAAG